rnacentral:tRNA from 1 species
UCCCUGGAGGACUAGUGGUUAGGCCACGGUGCUCUCAUUGCAGUGGCCUGGGUUCAAUUCCCAGCCAGAGAA